CCUCCUCGCCGUCCCCCCUCCUCCCCGUCCCCCGGGCCGGAGCCCGCUCUGCCGGCGGCUCGGCGGCCGCCCCGCGCCCAUCAUGGCUGCGAGCGCUUCGCUGCUGCUGCUGCUGCUGCUGCCGCCGCUGCUGCGCGGCUGCGGGGCCAUCCCCGAGCCCCCCGAGCCGCCCGAGCCGCCGGGCCCCGAGCCGCCCGCGCUGCCCGAGUCGGCGCUGCUGCAGCCCACCGUGCUGCUCGCCAUCCUCGCCCGCAACGCCGCGCACACGCUGCCGCAUGUCCUGGGCUGCAUCGAGAGGCUCAGCUACCCCAAGAGCCGCAUAGCGCUCUGGGCAGCCACUGACCACAACAUUGACAACACCACAGCCAUGCUCAGGGAGUGGCUGAAGAACGUGCAGCACCUGUACCACGACGUGGAGUGGCGGCCCAUGGAGGAACCCCCGUCUUACCCAGAAGAAAUUGGCCCAAAGCAUUGGCCAAGCUCCCGAUUCACUCAUGUGAUGAAGCUGCGCCAGGCUGCCCUGCGUGCCGCCCGCGAGAAGUGGUCAGACUACAUCCUGUUUGUUGAUGCAGAUAAUUUACUGACCAACCCCCAGACCCUGGAGCUGCUGAUGGCAGAGAACAAGACGCUGGUGGCACCGAUGCUCGAGUCGCGCUCGCUCUACUCCAACUUCUGGUGUGGCAUCACGCCCCAGGGCUAUUACAAAAGGACCCUGGAGUACCCCCUGAUCCGGGAAUGGAAGAGGAUGGGUUGUUUUGCUGUCCCCAUGAUCCAUUCCACGUUCCUCAUCGACCUGAGGAAGGAGGCCUCCACCAAACUGGCUUUCUAUCCCCCACACCAGGACUACACCUGGACCUUCGAUGACAUUAUGGUCUUUGCCUUCUCCAGCCGCCAGGCAGGAGUCCAGAUGUUCAUCUGCAACCGCGAGCACUACGGCUCCCUGCCCAUGCCACUGAAGCCACAACAGUCACUGCAGGAGGAGGCUGAGAACUUCGUGCACACCCUGAUCGAGGCCAUGAUUGAUCGCCCUCCCGUGGAGCCCUCCCAAUACAUCUCUGUCCCCCCGAAGCGCCCCAGCAAGAUGGGGUUUGAUGAAAUUUUCAUGAUCAACCUGAAGCGCCGCAAGGACCGGCGGGAUCGGAUGCUGCGGACGCUCUACGAGCAGGAGAUUGCUGUGAAGGUAGUGGAGGCUGUGGAUGGAAAAGCACUGAACACAAGUCAGCUCAAAGCUCUCAGCAUCGAAAUGCUGCCGGGGUACCGGGACCCCUAUUCCUCCAGGCCCCUGACCAGAGGGGAGAUCGGCUGCUUCCUGAGCCACUACUAUAUCUGGAAGGAGGUGGUGAGCAGGGGGCUGAGGAAGACACUGGUCAUCGAGGACGACGUGCGCUUCGAACACCAGUUCAAGAGGAAGCUGAUGAAGCUGAUGGGUGACAUUGAGCAGGCGCAGCUGGACUGGGAGCUGAUCUACAUCGGCCGCAAGAGGAUGCAGGUGCAGGAGCCCGAGCGAGCCGUUCCUAACGUGCGGAACCUGGUGGAGGCUGAUUACUCCUACUGGACCCUGGGCUACGCCCUCUCCUUGCGCGGUGCCCAGAAGCUCAUCGGGGCCGAGCCCUUUGGCAAGAUGCUGCCCGUGGAUGAAUUCCUGCCCAUCAUGUACAACAAGCACCCCGUCACCAAGUACAUGGAGUACUACGAGCCCCGAGACUUGAAGGCCUUCUCAGCAGAACCCCUUCUCGUCUACCCCACACACUACACCGGGCAGCCAGGCUACCUGAGCGACACAGAGACCUCCACCAUCUGGGACAACGAGACCGUGUCCACAGACUGGGACAGGACGCACUCGUGGAAGGCGCGGCAGCAGGGCCAGAUCCACAGCGACGCCCAGAACAAGGACACGCUGCCCUCACAGUCAUCACUGGGUGCACCAUCCUCCAGGGACGAGCUAUGACUGCCCGCCUCCCCAGACUGCGUGGGCAGCUGAACCUGCCGCACACUUCGGCUUUUCACCCUUGGAAGUUGUAGAGCAGCUCUUCACGUGGUCUCCUUCCCACCGCUGCCCGGGCGUAGGGCUUGGGCUGGACGCCUGCCCUGGCCGAGGACAGUGUGGGACUCGAAGGAGAGAAAAGAACAAGUGUUCCAAAAGAACAAACGUUCCAAAAGAACAAGUUUUGUUCCAAAAGAACAAGUGUUCCAGAUCUGAGCAAAAGCCCCGGCAAGCUUUCAUUGAAAGAAGCCAGCCAGGAACAAUGUUUCUACAGUUCCUGGUGUAGAACACUGUAUUUAUAAAGAUUAAUAUAUAGAGGUGCACAAUGUCAGUGCCUUUUGGGAUGGCUGUAGUCAGGCUGCUGCCUCACUGUCACUCCUUGUAGGUCUGUAGGCUUUUGCCACCCUGUUUGCCGAGCAUCUGGGGGGGGUUUGGGUUUUUUUUCCAAAGGGAUCCCUGUCCGAACCACGAUGUUUCCCCAAAAUGUUCAGUGCAGGGGAGCAGUGCUCCUCUGUCGUGUUGUCGCCCCAUCCCUCUGGCUGCUUCCCCCAGCUCCCUUCUGUUCCUGGUGCAUCCCAUCUGCACAGGCCUGUGUGUCCACAACCAAUGUCUUGGCUCAUCUGAAGCCAUGGAAGUUGCGCAAGUGGAGGUGGCUGGAGUUKUCUGUGGCCUGCUCAAAGGGAGUGCCACGUCCUUCUUCACCCCUGCCUCAGCUCAGUACUUCAGGAAGACAAAACACCAGAGCCCAUCAGCAGGCCUCAUUACUUAGGCCAUAAAAGCAAGGGUAGGAGUUUUGGGGACUUUAAAUUUUAAAAGUUAGGUUACGAACUCUGCUUAUGAAAGCGAAAGAACCUGCAGCAAUGUGACUGUCUUGACAGCCUGGUAGAAUUGUGUGUUAGAGGACAGAAAGGCGACUUGCCUGGAUAUUUUUUCACGGGAGGAGCACACCUGUUUUUUGGAUGAGUUCUGAUGUACCUGCUGUUGGCUCACAUGCCAGCAGGGUAUGGUGUGUAUUUUUUUUUUAAAGCCUUUUUGAGAGGCCAGGUGAUCAGACUACGCUGCUUAGGGCAGCUGGCACAGACCCUGAGCUGCUGGGCAGUGGGAGGAUUCCCUCCUGAAAUUGCCAUCCAGGGACUCACCUGCUGGCAGAUCUGUGCAUUGAGUGUGUGUGGCUGGGGUUUUGGUUUCAAUUUUAGUUUUGUAUAAUUCCUGAUCAAUGUUGUGCUUUCUGCUACAGAUGACGUGCUUCUACCUGUCAGCCGGUCUGAUAAUACAUAGAACCUGGUGCAAAUGGGCAGCUGUGCGUGUGCUUCAUUGAGGGGAAUCCUGGGAUGGCUGGGGGGUGUGAAGGCACCUGGAAAGCUCCCAUCCCUGGCCGUAGGCAGGGGCCCCUUCCUCCAGACCAGGUUGUUCUGAAUGCUCCCUAAAUAUUCCUGGAGGUUAAUGGGAGUCCAGCUCAGGGGAUUCCUGGCUGUCCUCUCCCCUGAAGUCCCUGGCACUACAAAGGUGCCCAUCCUGCAGCUCCCACUGGAGGCCAAGCUGCUACUGCUGUCCCCGUGGGAGCAGGGGCCCCACGCCCUGGUGAGUGUGGGGGUUCCACAGUGGGGCUGGGACCAUCCUUCCUCACAGCCCCUUGUGCUUCCUCUGCAGGUCUGGCUGCACGAGCCCCCUCGGGCCAGGGUCAAGGAUGAUGGAGGUCCCAGAGGUUGGUGAGCAGCUCCUGCAGGGGCAGAGCUCCAUCACCAGGGUCCAAAAUGUGCACUCACACUUGCUCCAGAGCAACAUGAAAUGCAACCCUUAACACACACGRCCAGAGCGUGCUGCUGUGCUGUGACUGCACUUGUGCACACACUUCACCAGAAUAACCCUGCACUGCUCAGGGCAGACURUGGAGCAGGAAAUGGCCCCAGCACAGCCAAGUCCAAGUCUGCUCUCAAGCCCCAGGAUGGAUAUUUGGCCUGGCUUCAUUCAGCCUGAGGUAACCCCAGCACCUUUACUCCUGCAGGACAUUCAUUAUCUCUGACCAACAAGGAUCAGGCUGAAAGGAGAGACGGACAGCAUUUAUUUCUCAGUCCUGUGUACCUGGUUUGCCCUCUGCACCCUUUUAUCUAUACACRGUUUUCUGCAGGAGAAGGAAGAUAUUUAUUAACUGUGUGUUCUGGAAAGCAAAGGUCUUCUGCCACCAGGUCUGGUUCAGCUGCUAAAAACAAACAGCCUUGUCCAGAGGGCAACAAUAAAUCAACAGUCACAAAAUGUUCAACUUACCCUUCGUCUCUUCUCAAAAUUGAUCAGGCCACCCUAUUGGAAGGAAAGGGAAGGAAGGGAUCAGAGAAGAGCCAUUUAUCUCUGUCCCUUGAGAUAAAUGCACUCAAAUUUACACAAGUUCUGGUUAAUGACACAGGAAGCGUAUUGCUUCCUUUUUUUUCUUUGAAAACAGGUAUUUUAAGAGCUGCAGAAGGACAAGAUACAGGAAUUGAUAAACUCAGUUGUGAAGGCAGGGAGGGUAUUCAGGAUUCCAGAAAAUGGCCCCAAAUUACCUCAACA